rnacentral:rRNA from 1 species
GGGCUGCAGUAUAUUGACUGUACAAAGGUAGCAUAAUCAUUAGUCAUUUAAUUGAUGACUUGUAUGAAAGAUUGGAUGAGAUAUAAUCUGUCUCUUAAUUAAUUAUAGAAUUUAAUUUUUUAAUUAAAAAGUUAAAAUGAUUUAAAAAGACGAGAAGACCCUAUAGAGUUUAAUAUUUAAAUUAAUUAAGAUUAUAUAUAAAUUUAUUUAAUUGAAAUUAUUUUAUAUAUUUUGUUGGGGUGACAAAAAAAUAUAAUAAACUUUUUUUAUAAAUUAACAUAUAUAAGUGAUUUAUUGAUCCAAUAUUAUUGAUUAUAAGAAAAAAUUACCUUAGGGAUAACAGCGUAAUUUUUUUUUUUAGUUCAAAUAAAAAAAAGAGUUUGCGACCUCGAUGUUGGAUUAAGAUAAAAUUUAAAUG